UGUCGCUGCUCUGGGCAGGCUUGUAUAGGCUGUAACAGAGGAGAGGAAAGUCCGGGCAACGCAGGGCAUCCCGCUUCCUAACAGAAAGAGGUCCGUGAGGGUCUGUAGGUGCAGAAGAAAACAACCGCCUGUGUCUGAACACAGUUGAAGCUGCUUUGUUGAGGCUUGGGUAAGGGUGAGAAGGUGGGGUAAGAGCCCACCAGGCUAACAGUGAUGUUAGUGCUGUGUACUCCGGGAGUUGAAAGUUCAUGUAAACCGGCGAACAAAAAGAGAGGGCGGCCCGUCCGAGCCGGAGGGUAGAACGAUAGAAGACAGCGGUGACGCUGCCCGUAGAUAAAUGGCAGGCAGUCCCCCUUGGGGGAAUACAGAACCCGGCUUACAGGUUCACUGU
rnacentral:RNase_P_RNA from 1 species